rnacentral:rRNA from 1 species
AGCAUAUCAAUAAGCGGAGGAAAAGAAACCAACAGGGAUUGCCCCAGUAACGGCGAGUGAAGCGGCAACAGCUCAAAUUUGAAAUCUGGCCUCGGCCCGAGUUGUAAUUUGCAGAGGAAGCUUCUGGUGCGGCGCCGUCCGAGUCUCCUGGAACGGAGCGCCAUAGAGGGUGAGAGCCCCGUAUGGACGGAUGCCAAACCUGUGUGAAGCUCCUUCGACGAGUCGAGUAGUUUGGGAAUGCUGCUCAAAAUGGGAGGUAAAUUCCUUCUAAAGCUAAAUAUUGGCCAGAGACCGAUAGCGCACAAGUAGAGUGAUCGAAAGAUGAAAAGCACUUUGAAAAGAGGGUUAAACAGCACGUGAAAUUGUUGAAAGGGAAGCGCUUGUGACCAGACUUGAGCGCGGCGGAUCAUCCGGUGUUCUCACCGGUGCACUCCGCCGUGUCCAGGCCAGCAUCAGUUUCCGCGGGGGGACAAAGGUCCCGGGAACGUAGCUCCUCCGGGAGUGUUAUAGCCCGGGGCGCAAUGCCCCCGCGGGGACCGAGGACCGCGCAUCUGCAAGGAUGC